AAUUUUGGACAAUGGGGGAAACCCUGAUCCAGCAAUGACGCGUGCAGGAUGAAGGCAUUCGGGUUGUAAACUGCUUUUGUACGGAACGAAAAGCACUGGGUUAAUACCCUGGGGUCAUGACGGUACCGUAAGAAUAAGCACCGGCUAACUACGUGCCAGCAGCCGCGGUAAUACGUAGGGUGCAAGCACUAAUCGGAAUUACUGGGCGUAAAGCGUGCGCAAGCGGUUUUGUAAGACAGAGUUAAAAUCCCCGGGCUCAACCUGGGAACUGCCUUUGUGACUGCAAGGCUAGAGUACGGCAGAGGGGGAUGGAAUUCCGCGUGUAGCAGUGAAAUGCGUAGAUAUGCGGAGGAACACCGAUGGCGAAGGCAAUCCCCUGGGCCUGUACUGACGCUCAUGCACGAAAGCGUGGGGAGCAAACAGG
rnacentral:rRNA from 1 species